GAUGAACGCUAGCUACAGGCUUAACACAUGCAAGUCGAGGGGAAACGACAUCGAAAGCUUGCUUUUGAUGGGCGUCGACCGGCGCACGGGUGAGUAACGCGUAUCCAACCUGCCCAUCACUUGGGGAUAACCUUGCGAAAGUAAGACUAAUACCCAAUGAUAUCUCUAGAAGACAUCUGAAAGAGAUUAAAGAUUUAUCGGUGAUGGAUGGGGAUGCGUCUGAUUAGCUUGUUGGCGGGGUAACGGCCCACCAAGGCAACUAUCAGUAGGGGUUCUGAGAGGAAGGUCCCCCACAUUGGAACUGAGACACGGUCCAAACUCCUACGGGAGGCAGCAGUGAGGAAUAUUGGUCAAUGGGCGAGAGCCUGAACCAGCCAAGUAGCGUGCAGGAAGACGGCCCUAUGGGUUGUAAACUGCUUUUAUAAGGGAAUAAAGUGAGAGUCGUGACUCUUUUUGUAUGUACCUUAUGAAUAAGGACCGGCUAAUUCCGUG
rnacentral:rRNA from 1 species